rnacentral:rRNA from 1 species
ACGGAAGGCAGCAGUGGGGGAUAUUGCACAAUGGGCGCAAGCCUGAUGCAGCAACGCCGCGUGAGGGAAGACGGUUUUCGGAUUGUAAACCUCUGUUUUUGGUGAAGAUAAUGACGGUAGCCAAGGAGGAAGCCACGGCUAACUACGUGCCAGCAGCCGCGGUAAUACGUAGGUGGCAAGCGUUGUCCGGAAUUACUGGGUGUAAAGGGAGCGCAGGCGGGACGGCAAGUUGGAUGUGAAAUACCGCGGCUUAACUGCGGAGCUGCAUCCAAAACUGUCGUUCUUGAGUGGAGUAGAGGCAGGCGGAAUUCCGAGUGUAGCGGUGAAAUGCGUAGAUAUUCGGAGGAACACCAGUGGCGAAGGCGGCCUGCUGGGCUCUAACUGACGCUGAGGCUCGAAAGUGUGGGGAGCAAACAGGAUUAGAUACCCUGGUA